AAGUCGUAACAAGGUUUCCGUAGGUGAACCUGCGGAAGGAUCAUUAUUGAAUUUAAACAAAGGGUAUUUAGGUUGUAGCUGGCUCUAUUAGUUGGGAGCAUGUGCACACCUUUUGCUCUUUUUUUAAUCCACACACACCUGUGAACCUGUGAGGCAGAGACAUGGAUGGGAAAACUUUCAUUUGAUUUAAAUAAAUAAAUGAUUGGGACCCCUACCCCCCCUCUGUCUACUCAAAUCUAAUAUAAACCCAAUUUAUUUUAAAAUGAAUGUAAUGGAUGUAACGCAUCUAAUACUAAGUUUCAACAACGGAUCUCUUGGCUCUC
rnacentral:misc_RNA from 1 species